GACCUGUCUCAGUUCGGAUUGGAGCUGCAACUCGACUCCAUGAAGCUGGAUUCGCUAGUAAUCGCGCAUCAGCCAUGGCGCGGUGAAUACGUUCCCGGGCCUUGUACACACCGCCCGUCAAGCCAUGGAAGCCGGGAGUGCCUGAAGUGUGCAACCGCAAGGAGCGCCCUAAGGUAAAACUGGUGACUGGGGCUAAGUCGUAACAAGGUAUC
rnacentral:rRNA from 1 species